rnacentral:misc_RNA from 1 species
GAAAGAUGCAACUGAUGAUUUUGAUGAUGUUGGUCAGAGCUCAUCUGCAAAAGAGCUGAUGAACAAGUACUGCAUCGGGGAUAUUGAUGUGAAAAGAGCUCCACCCCCUGGAAAGAAGUAAAGUCCUCGAGUUGACCCUCCAAAAGCAAUAAACAAGAACCACGCAAUCUUAGCGAAACUCUUACAAUUCUUGUUACCCCAUCUGAUCCUGGGUGGAGCAUUUUCUUUGCGAUCCACAUUCAAAAAGGAAUAGUUUGUGUGAUAAUUUUUCCUUCGAGGAGGAGCUCUGUAUUUGUUAUAAGUCCUAGCGCACAUUUUCUUGUUUCAACUGUUUUUGCCAUCAGCAAGUCUCUGUAUUUUGUUUCUAAAUUC